AUCUAUGGCCAUACCACCCUGAACGCACCAGAUCGCGUCUGAUCUCAGAAGCUAAGCAGGGUUGGGCCUGAUUGAUAUGUUGAUGGGAGAAUCAAAUGAACUUUGGGUACCUUACUUG
rnacentral:rRNA from 1 species